GAGUUUGAUCGUGGCUCAGAUUGAACGCUAGCGGGAUGCCUUACACAUGCAAGUCGAACGGCAGCACGGACUUCGGUCUGGUGGCGAGUGGCGAACGGGUGAGUAAUGUAUCGGAACGUGCCUAGUAGCGGGGGGAUAACUACGCGAAAGCGUAGCUAAUACCGCAUACGCCCUACGGGGAAGGCAGGGGAGUCGCAAGACCUUGCACUAUUAGAGCGGCC
rnacentral:rRNA from 1 species